UACGGAGGAUGCGAGCGUUAUCCGGAUUUAUUGGGUUUAAAGGGUGCGUAGGUUGUUUUUUAAGUCAGCGGUGAAAGUUUGUGGCUCAACCAUAAAAUUGCCGUUGAAACUGUGUCCCUUGAGUGCGCGAAGGGUAGGCGGAAUGCGUGGUGUAGCGGUGAAAUGCAUAGAUAUCACGCAGAACUCCGAUCGCGAAGGCAGCCUACCGGCGCGCAACUGACGCUCAUGCACGAAAGCGUGGGUAUCGAACAGG
rnacentral:rRNA from 1 species